rnacentral:rRNA from 1 species
UACAGAGGUCUCAAGCGUUGUUCGGAUUCAUUGGGCGUAAAGGGUGUGUAGGCGGCCCGGUAAGUCCGCUGUGAAAGUCGGGGGGCUCAACCCUCGAAUGCCGGUGGAUACUGUCGGGCUAGAGUGCGGAAGAGGCGAGUGGAAUUCCUGGUGUAGCGGUGAAAUGCGCAGAUAUCAGGAGGAACACCGAUUGCGAAGGCAGCUCGCUGGGACGUCACUGACGCUGAGACGCGAAAGCGUGGGGAGCAAACAGG